rnacentral:rRNA from 1 species
CCCUGUGGGAAGCAGCAGGGACCACCCUCCAAGGCUAAAUACUACCUAGUGACCGAUAGCGUAUAGUACCGUGAGGGAAAGGUGAAAAGAACCCCGGGAGGGGAGUGAAAUAGAACCUGAAACCCUGAACUUACAAGCUGUGGAAGCACAUUUCUUGUGUGACCGCGUACUUUUUGUAGAUCGGGCCAACGAGUUACGUUAAGUAGCAAGGUUAAGCACUUAAGGUG